CGGGCGAGAGGCUAGGCCGGCUGGGCUGCGGGCGCGCGCGAGGAGUUGGGCCGGUUCGGCCCAGUUCGGCCGGGCCGGUCCGUUUGCUCCCCUUUUUUUUUCUUUUACCCAUUUCUUUUUCUGUUUUUCUUAUUCCUUUGAUAUCAUUUGAUUUUGAACUCCAAAUUGGUCCAAAUAAAUCCCAGAAAAUUUGUAAAAUCAUGUUCCACCAUGAUACAACUUUUGGAAGUAGUUUUUAUUCAAAAUAAAAUAUGUAAAAAUACAUUUGCCGUAUAAAUGCCUUUAGGGCCAUAUAUCUAUUUAAAUAAAAAAAAAUUAAUUCAAUUCCAAAUAAUUAUCCAAAAAUUAUGGGAUAGCUCAUAUGUGCAAUAACCCUUUUAUAUAUAAACCUUAAUGGUUUGAAGAUCCAAAGCUCAAAUAGGUGUAAACAAAAUCUUUUAAAACCUUUUGUGAUUCAAAAUUUGAAUUCAAACAUGCAAUUGUGGCAUGAUGCUCAUGGAUGCAAUGCACAUGUAAAAGUUUGAAAUUUUGGGAUGUUACAGACCUAACCCCC
rnacentral:lncRNA from 1 species